rnacentral:rRNA from 1 species
UGCGUAGGCGGACUAAUAAGUCAGUGGUGAAAUCUCUCGGCUCAACCGGGAAACUGCCAUUGAUACUGUUAGUCUUGAGUUCGGCUGAGGUAGGCGGAAUGUGUAAUGUAGCGGUGAAAUGCUUAGAUAUUACACAGAACACCAAUUGCGUAGGCAGCUUACUAGACCGACACUGACGCUGAGGCACGAAAGCGUGGGGAGCGAACAGGAUUAGAUACCCUGGUAGUCC